AGCGCGGCUAGGUAUGGCCACCGAACGCCUGAACCCCAUGACAGGCCCGCCGCGCUCCCUUCCAAGGUUCAUGGG
rnacentral:sRNA from 2 species